rnacentral:lncRNA from 1 species
AUGAUGCACCCAGCAAUCAGAUGCAUCAGAACAACAAAGCACAACUGUGGUGGACCAGGCACCUUCAGCAACAAAGAUUUAACAACACUGUCAGUCAGGAGCAUAUUUAACAGGAGGCACACUUCAGCUGGCUUGAUGGUGACUUCAGUAAGUGUGGUCAACCCUCUUGUUUUUGUGGCUAUAACAAUUAGACUAAGUAAUCUCACUCUCUUCCAUUUCCUUAACAUUACCCUUUUUUUUGUUGAUACUGAACAGGUGCAGUGAAGAUAUUUAAAGAGACACUAUCUAAAGUACAGAAAGCCGUACAUAAUCUCUAGGUGCAAUCGCCUACAGUGCAGCCAGCUUCACAAAGACUG